rnacentral:rRNA from 1 species
GUGCCAGCAGCCGCGGUAAUACGUAGGUGGCAAGCGUUGUCCGGAAUUAUUGGGCGUAAAGCGCGCGCAGGCGGGAUGGUAAGUCUAACUUAAAAGUGCGGGGCUCAACUCCGUGAGGGGUUGGAAACUACCAUUCUUGAGUGCAGGAGAGGAAAGUGGAAUUCCUAGUGUAGCGGUGAAAUGCGUAGAUAUUAGGAGGAACACCAGUGGCGAAGGCGACUUUCUGGACUGUGUCUGACGCUGAGGCGCGAAAGCCAGGGGAGUGAACGGGAUUAGAUACCCCGGUAAUCCUGGCCGUAAACGAUGGGUACUAGGUGUAGGAGGUAUCGACCCCUUCUGUGCCGGAGUUAACGCAAUAAGUACCCCGCCUGGGGAGUACGGCCGCAAGGUUGAAACUCAAAGGAAUUGACGG